rnacentral:misc_RNA from 1 species
GAUGAAGAACGUAGCGAAAUGCGAUAAGUAAUGUGAAUUGCAGAAUUCAGUGAAUCAUCGAAUCUUUGAACGCACAUUGCGCCCCUUGGUAUUCCGAGGGGCAUGCCUGUUCGAGCGUCAUUACAACCCCUCAAGCUCAGCUUGGUGUUGGGGCCUGCUGCACUGGCAGCCCUUAAAAUCAGUGGCGGCGCCAUCUGGCUCUAAGCGUAGUAAUUCUUCUCGCUAUGGAGUCCUGGUGGAUGCUUGCCAUCAACCCCCAAUUUUUCUAUGGUUGACCUCGGAUCAGGUAGGGAUACCCGCUGAACUUAAGCAUAUCAAUAAGCGAAGGA